UUACCAAGGUNGAUGAUNGCAUAGCCGANUUGAGAGANUGAUCGGCCACAUUGGGACUGAGACACGGCCCAAACUCCUACGGGAGGCAGCAGUAGGGAAUCUUCCACAAUGGACGCAAGUCUGAUGGAGCAACGCCGCGUGAGUGAAGAANGUUUUCGGAUCGUAAAGCUCUGUUGUUKGAUGAAGA
rnacentral:rRNA from 1 species